CCACCAUCUAGGACACUACCAUCAAAAUUUACCUUAAGAAAGUUUAGAGGUGAAGGCUCCUAGGAGAUGUAAUUCAUCCUAUGUGCUGCAAGAGCUGACAAGGGGCCUUAAGUGUCCUGAGCUAUCAUAAGCUCUCCAAUGGUAUGCACACCAACAAGGAUAGUUUGAUGCCUCACUCUCUCCAAAGUCAACCUAAGAGAUGGACUAUUAUUCUCAAAAAUCUGUGUUCUUAGUCAACCAAAUCUAAUAUACAAUAUACACCUUUAGGAUAGCAGUUGGUCAUGAUAUUCAUCUACCUGCACCAUCUCUAAACAAAACAAAAAAGAUCUCGAUUGGAGAAUUUGAUCACCACAGAUUCUAGACAUCCGCAGUGAGCAUCCAAACCUGCCUGGCUCGACUGAACUAAAACAACGUAUGGUCAAUAAACUCCUCCAACGGACACUAUGGGCAAGUCAGAGAGAUGAUCAUCUCCCACCAACUCAAGGCCCCUUAGUGGGGAGCCACUCCCAGGCUAUCUUCCAGAGGAAUAGGAUGACCUUCGAAUGCAUGUCAAGUCUCCAGAUCUAUAUUAAGUCCCUCAUCAGAGUCAGCUCACCUCUGAAGAGUGUAUAAAGUUCUUGCACUAUCACUCUUCAACUAUAGGACUUCUACAAUCUCACAUCAGGAAUGUCAUGCCCGGAGAUCAUAAGUGUCUGAACCCUCAUCGUCAGAUGCUCUCCAAAUAAUUACACCACUAGGGUAGAAUUCCACAUUCUCUCUUCUAAUAGGAGUAAAUCAGCAACAUGCUCCACUACUGCUCCACAUCCAUAAAGGUCGGCCACUGACAAAAUGGAAGGUAAGACAGCCAUCUAUCAGCCAUGACAUCCACACUCCGACUAUCACCUAUCAAUUACCUCAUGUUUACCAAUGCAAUAGAGCCAUGAGAGCAGAUCUCUCUCCAAAUAUACGAGCUACAUCAGCUAGCCCAAGUAUCCAUCUCAAUGGGCCAUGGGCCAUACUUCUCCUUCAUCACUAUGCUUCAUAGGCUCUUCAGCUUUAGAAGGUACCUCACAAUAUACUUAGCAAUUGAGGCCUCUCUUUUUACCACCGGGGACUAAAUACCAAGACUACCCUCUUGCAACGGCCG
rnacentral:lncRNA from 1 species